GAUGAACGCUGGCGGCGUGCUUAACACAUGCAAGUCGAACGAAGCACUUAUCAUGAAGUUUUCGGAUGGAUUGAUAAAUGACUGAGUGGCGGACGGGUGAGUAACGCGUGGGUAACCUGCCUUAUACAGGGGGAUAACAGUUGGAAACGACUGCUAAUACCGCAUAAGCGCACAGUGCUGCAUGGUACCGUGUGAAAGGAUUUAUCGGUAUAAGAUGGACCCGCGUCUGAUUAGCUGGUUGGUGGGGUAACGGCCUACCAAGGCGACGGUCAGUAGCCGGCUUGAGAGAGUGAACGGCCACAUUGGGACUGAGACACGGCCCAAACUCCUACGGGAGGCAGCGGUGGGGAAUAUUGCACAAUGGGGGAAACCCUGAUGCAGCGACGCCGCGUGAGUGAAGAAGUAUUUCGGUAUGUAAAGCUCUAUCAGCAGGGACGAAAGAAGUUGAAAGACACUUCCUGACGGUACCUGACUAAGAAGCCCCGGCUAACUACGUGCCAGCCGCCGCGGUAA
rnacentral:rRNA from 1 species